UCCGUCAUGGCGCAGCUCUCUGAGCCGAGGCGGUGCGGGGUUCUCCUCGCCCUGCUGGCAUCGCUGCUCCUCUCCGGGGCUGGGGCGGCCGACGAAGAACGUGGCGUCCACGAUUUUUGCCACCUUCCCAAGAAAGUGGGAAGAUGCCGGGCCUCCUUCCCUCGGUGGUGGUACAAUGUCACUGACGGAUCCUGCCAGCAGUUUGUGUAUGGAGGCUGUGACAGGAAUGACAAUAAUUACAUGACCAAGGAGAAGUGUCUUGCUAAGUGUGCUGGUGUCACAGAGAACAACAUCGAUGAGCAGAUCAGGGAUAAAGCAGAUUCUUCCGUCCCAAGUGUUCCUAGAAGGCAGGAUUCUGAUGACCUCUCCGAUGAUAUUUUCAGCUAUGAAGAACACUGCAUUGCCAAGGCUGUCACUGGGCCUUGCUGAGCAGCCUUUCCGCGCUCGUACUUUAAUGCCGAGAAGAACUCUUGUGAUAACUUCAUCUACGGAGGAUGCCGGGGCAAUAAAAACAACUACCGCUCUGAGGAGUGCAUGCAGCAAUGCUUCGGCAAGCAGUUGUAACCUGCCCUGCCCUUCGGCAGUAAAGUGGUGGUCCUGGUGGGGCUGUUCGUGAUGGUCCUGAUCCUCUUGCUGGGAGCCUCUGUGGUCUGCCUGAUCAAGUUGGCGCGGAGGAACCAGGAGCGCACCCUCCGCACCGUCUGGAGCUCUGGGGAUGACAAGGAGCAGCUGGUGAAGAACUCUUACGUCCUGUGAACCCCCGUUGCCAAGGGGCUGCCCCCUUCCACCCCCUGUUGAUGAAGAGAAUCUGGAAAGGGAGGGGAGACGAGUGUUGAACGCAUGUGUGCUUUUUCAAAUAGAGUGAUUGAUUUGUAUUUGCGAGAUCAUUAGGGCUUUUGGUCUGUUUGUUCUUCCACAAGGUGAGAGGGCUGCUCCCUGGCCCCCCAGAUGGGUUUGCUUUAGAAGUCCUCUUAGUGAAGGGCUGUGCACAGUGCAGGUGGUCUGGCCUCCAUCCGAGUCGGUUCUUCUUCGAUUUCUUUCUUUGCUCCAGGUGUAGAUUUCUUUGCUUAUGUUGAAUCCUGUUGCCUCCUUUCCCAUCACAGAAGUGAUGUUUUCAGAGUUUGUUUGUUGUUGUAUUUUUUUAAGUAAGCAGAAACAUGUUUUUUUUUUAAUUAGGAUUCUGAAAGGAAGAAGGUAAAAUGUACAAGUUUAAUAAAAAGGGGCCUUUCCAUUUAAAAAAAAAAA